rnacentral:rRNA from 1 species
AUUGAACGCUGGCGGCAUGCUUUACACAUGCAAGUCGGACGGCAGCACAGAGAAGCUUGCUUCUUGGGUGGCGAGUGGCGAACGGGUGAGUAACAUAUCGGAACGUACCGAGCAGUGGGGGAUAACUAAUCGAAAGAUUAGCUAAUACCGCAUAUCUUCUGAGGAAGAAAGCAGGGGACCAUUUGGCCUUGCGCUGUUUGAGCGGCCGAUAUCUGAUUAGCUAGUUGGUGGGGUAAAGGCCUACCAAGGCGACGAUCAGUAGCGGGUCUGAGAGGAUGAUCCGCCACACUGGGACUGAGACACGGCCCAGACGCCUACGGGAGGCAGCAGUGGGGAAUUUUGGACAAUGGGCGCAAGCCUGAUCCAGCCAUGCCGCGUGUCUGAAGAAGGCCUUCGGGUUGUAAAGGACUUUUGUCAGGGAAGAAAAGGGCGGGGUUAAUACCCCUGUCUGAUGACGGUACCUGAAGAAUAAGCACCGGCUAACUACGUG